rnacentral:rRNA from 1 species
CCUACGGGCGGCAGCAGUGAGGAAUAUUGGUCAAUGGACGAGAGUCUGAACCAGCCAAGUAGCGUGAAGGAUGACUGCCCUAUGGGUUGUAAACUUCUUUUAUAUGGGAAUAAAACGUUCCACGUGUGGGAUUUUGUAUGUACCAUAUGAAUAAGGAUCGGCUAACUCCGUGCCAGCAGCCGCGGUAAUACGGAGGUUCCGAGCGUUAUCCGGAUUUAUUGGGUUUAAAGGGAGCGUAGGUGGAUUGUUAAGUCAGUUGUGAAAGUUUGCGGCUCAACCGUAAAAUUGCAGUUGAAACUGGCAGUCUUGAGUACAGUAGAGGUGGGCGGAAUUCGUGGUGUAGCGGUGAAAUGCUUAGAUAUCACGAAGAACUCCGAUUGCGAAGGCAGUUCACUGGACUGCAACUGACACUGAGGCUCGAAAGUGUGGGUAUCAAACAGGAUUAGAUACCCGAGUAGUC